CAGCUCUCCGAGUGGUAGGGAUGAUUAUUGGGCUUAAAGCGUCCGUAGCCGGCUGAGCAAGUUUCCUGUUAAAUUCAGCGACCUAAUCGUUGAGCCGCGGGAAAUACUACUAGGCUAGGAGGCGGGAGAGGUCGACGGUACUUCCGGGGUAGGGGUGAAAUCCUAUAAUCCCGGGAGGACCACCAGUGGCGAAGGCUGUCGACUAGAACGCGCUCGACGGUGAGGGACGAAAGCUGGGGGAGCGAACCGGAUUAGAUACCCGAGUAGUCC
rnacentral:rRNA from 1 species